AAUGGCUUCACCAUUUCUUCGUAAUCCUGUGGACAUCUCAGUGCAAAUUAUUACUUGUGAUCAUGAAUGUAUGAUCACAAGCUUGGAUGCCAAAUGGCCCGGCUCAGUGCAAUUCUCACACAUUUUCCAAGAGUAUGUGUUGUGUAAGCACUCUGAGGAAGGGGAUUACCAGUAGGCUUGGAAUGAAGAGUCGAGGUGUCAGUCAAAUUAGUUGAAAGUUUACUGUAAAGGUUCCAACACGAAGGAAGCUGGAAGCGGGUUGGCAAUCCAGAAUUCCAGAGCAGGAGCUACAGUGAGAAGGACCAAAGUACUUGUAUCAGUCAGGUUAUUUAUUGGUCUCCUUCAGGAUCAAAUUUACAGUAAAAGUCUGUUUGUGUCUGUACCAGGAAUAUGGCUGCAAUGAAGAAAAAGAGACAAUAAUAUCAGCUUCUUAUCAGUGCUUUGUACACUUCAUAAGGUCAGAGAGAGCUCUAACAGAUCAGAAAGUUCUACAUUAUAAGGGAGGGGGUUAUUCUCUCACAGCUUCCUCAACUUCCUGUUCAUAAACUUCAGCAAUUACAGGUUUUUGGUGUGCCUGGGUGUGGUCAGAUUGAAAUUCCACAGGAUAUCCUCUAUAGAGUAAGCUACCAAUUUGAUCUUAUUUUGUUUAGUAAUUGCUAUACUGUUUGCUCCAAGGAAUGCUGAACACAGAAGGAAACCUAAGGUACAGCAAAUCACCAUAGCUUGCCUUGACACCAAGCUUUUUCCAUUUUAAAAAUGUUUAACAGAUGUGGCACCAUUUCAUGAAAGUUCUCAGAACUCAAGUCUUUUCAGAUUGUUUCCUUUCAACCUUAAAGGGAUAGUUCACCCAAAAAGGAAAAUUCUUUCAUCAUUGACACCCUUAUGCCAUUCCGGAUAUGUAUGACUUUCUUUCUUUUACAGAACAUAAACAAAGACUUUUAGAAGAGUAUCUCAGCUCUGUAGGUCCAUAUAAUGCAAGUAAAUGGUGGCCAGAAC